GAUGAACGCUAGCGGCAGGCUUAAUACAUGCAAGUCGUGGGGCAGCAGGGGUAGCAAUACCCGCUGGCGACCGGCAAACGGGUGCGGAACACGUACGCAACCUUCCUUUAACUGGAGAAUAGCCCCUCGAAAGAGGGAUUAAUACUCCGUAACAUAUACAUGUGGCAUCACAAGUACAUUAUAGCUCCGGCGGUUAAAGAUGGGCGUGCGCCUGAUUAGAUAGNGGCGGGGUAACGGCCCACCAAGUCUGCGAUCAGUAACUGGUGUGAGAGCACGACCAGUCACACGGGCACUGAGACGCGGGCCCGACUCCUACGGGAGGCAGCAGUAAGGAAUAUUGGUCAAUGGACGCAAGUCUG
rnacentral:rRNA from 1 species